AAAUAAGAAACAAAGUAUUGUAUUUAGUUUCGGCCUAAAAUUUUGGUUUUAAUAAGCCCUUAUUUA
rnacentral:tRNA from 1 species